rnacentral:rRNA from 1 species
CGGGACACGUGGUAUCCUGUCUGAAUAUGGGGGGACCAUCCUCCAAGGCUAAAUACUCCUGACUGACCGAUAGUGAACCAGUACCGUGAGGGAAAGGCGAAAAGAACCCCGGCGAGGGGAGUGAAAAAGAACCUGAAACCGUGUACGUACAAGCAGUGGGAGCACGCUUAGGCGUGUGACUGCGUACCUUUUGUAUAAUGGGUCAGCGACUUAUAUUCUGUAGCAAGGUUAACCGAAUAGGGGAGCCGAAGGGAAACCGAGUCUUAACUGGGCGUUAAGUUGCAGGGUAUAGACCCGAAACCCGGUGAUCUAGCCAUGGGCAGGUUGAAGGUUGGGUAACACUAACUGGAGGACCGAACCGACUAAUGUUGAAAAAUUAGCGGAUGACUUGUGGCUGGGGGUGAAAGGCCAAUCAAACCGGGAGAUAGCUGGUUCUCCCCGAAAGCUAUUUAGGUAGCGCCUCGUGAAUUCAUCUCCGGGGGUAGAGCACUGUUUCGGCAAGGGGGUCAUCCCGACUUACCAACCCGAUGCAAACUGCGAAUACCGGAGAAUGUUAUCACGGGAGACACACGGCGGGUGCUAACGUCCGUCGUGAAGAGGGAAACAACCCAGACCGCCAGCUAAGGUCCCAAAGUCAUGGUUAAGUGGGAAACGAUGUGGGAAGGCCCAGACAGCCAGGAUGUUGGCUUAGAAGCAGCCAUCAUUUAAAGAAAGCGUAAUAGCUCACUGGUCGAGUCGGCCUGCGCGGAAGAUGUAACGGGGCUAAACCAUGCACCGAAGCUGCGGCAGCGACGCUGAUGCGUUGUUGGGUAGGGGAGCGUUCUGUAAGCCUGUGAAGGUGUGCUGUGAGGCAUGCUGGAGGUAUCAGAAGUGCGAAUGCUGACAUAAGUAACGAUAAAGCGGGUGAAAAGCCCGCUCGCCGGAAGACCAAGGGUUCCUGUCCAACGUUAAUCGGGGCAGGGUGAGUCGACCCCUAAGGCGAGGCCGAAAGGCGUAGUCGAUGGGAAACAGGUUAAUAUUCCUGUACUUGGUGUUACUGCGAAGGGGGGACGGAGAAGGCUAUGUUGGCCGGGCGACGGUUGUCCCGGUUUAAGCGUGUAGGCUGGUUUUCCAGGCAAAUCCGGAAAAUCAAGGCUGAGGCGUGAUGACGAGGCACUACGGUGCUGAAGCAACAAAUGCCCUGCUUCCAGGAAAAGCCUCUAAGCAUCAGGUAACAUCAAAUCGUACCCCAAACCGACACAGGUGGUCAGGUAGAGAAUACCAAGGCGCUUGAGAGAACUCGGGUGAAGGAACUAGGCAAAAUGGUGCCGUAACUUCGGGAGAAGGCACGCUGAUAUGUAGGUGAAGCGACUUGCUCGUGGAGCUGAAAUCAGUCGAAGAUACCAGCUGGCUGCAACUGUUUAUUAAAAACACAGCACUGUGCAAACACGAAAGUGGACGUAUACGGUGUGACGCCUGCCCGGUGCCGGAAGGUUAAUUGAUGGGGUCAGCGCAAGCGAAGCUCUUGAUCGAAGCCCCGGUAAACGGCGGCCGUAACUAUAACGGUCCUAAGGUAGCGAAAUUCCUUGUCGGGUAAGUUCCGACCUGCACGAAUGGCGUAAUGAUGGCCAGGCUGUCUCCACCCGAGACUCAGUGAAAUUGAACUCGCUGUGAAGAUGCAGUGUACCCGCGGCAAGACGGAAAGACCCCGUGAACCUUUACUAUAGCUUGACACUGAACAUUGAGCCUUGAUGUGUAGGAUAGGUGGGAGGCUUUGAAGUGUGGACGCCAGUCUGCAUGGAGCCGGCCUUGAAAUACCACCCUUUAAUGUUUGAUGUUCUAACGUUGACCCGUGAUCCGGGUUGCGGACAGUGUCUGGUGGGUAGUUUGACUGGGGCGGUCUCCUCCUAAAGAGUAACGGAGGAGCACGAAGGUUGGCUAAUCCUGGUCGGACAUCAGGAGGUUAGUGCAAUGGCAUAAGCCAGCUUGACUGCGAGCGUGACGGCGCGAGCA